GUAACACGUGGGCAACCUGCCCCCAAGACAGGGAUAACUUCGGGAAACCGGAGCUAAUACCAGAUAAUCUUUUUUCUCGCAUGAGAGAGAAGUAAAAGGCUUCGGCCGUUUGGGGAUGGGCCCGCGACGCAUUAGCUAGUUGGUGUGGUAAAGGCACACCAAGGCGACGAUGCGUAGCCGACCUGAGAGGGUGACCGGCCACACUGGGACUGAGACACGGCCCAGACUCCUACGGGAGGCAGCAGUAGGGAAUUUUCCGCAAUGGGCGAAAGCCUGACGGAGCAACGCCGCGUGAAUGAGGACGGCCUUCGGGUUGUAAAGUUCUGUUCUGUGGGAAGAAAAAGAUGACGGUACCAUAGGAGAAAGCCCCGGCUAACUACGUGCCAGCAGCCGCGGUAAUACGUAGGGGGCGAGCGUUAUCCGGAAUUAUUGGGCGUAAAGCGCGCGCAGGCGGUUAAUUAAGUCAGAUGUGAAAGGCUACGGCUCAACCGUAGAGUUGCAUUUGAAACUGGUUAACUUGAGUGCAGGAGAGGUAAGUGGAAUUCCCGGUGUAGCGGUGGAAUGCGUAGAGAUCGGGAGGAACACCAGUGGCGAAGGCGGCUUACUGGCCUGCAACUGACGCUGAGGCGCGAAAGCGUGGGGAGCGAACAGGAUUAGAUACCCUGGUAGUCCACGCCGUAAACGAUGAGUGCUAGGUGUU
rnacentral:rRNA from 1 species